rnacentral:lncRNA from 1 species
CCGCGGAGCCGCCUGCAGCUCCCGCCAGGCCUGCACUGGCCGCCCCAGGUCCACGGAGCUCAUAGGGACCCGCACCUCCCCGAUGGCGUCAUUGCGAGAGAAGCGGUCGAAGUCGUACACCGCCAUGACCAGCACCCUGCCCCCCAGCUCCACGUAGGGGACCUGGAGUGCACAGAGAAUCCGCAGUAGAGAGCAGGAAGUCAGAGAUAGGGUGAGGCACAGCACAACCAGAAGGAAGGCAUGGAGUGAGGCAGCGAGGGUCGAAGCGAACAGUUGGGGGAACUCAAAUGGGAAAGUCCAGGGAUCCAUGCGGAAAAAAAUCACGGGUCAGUGGAACCCAAAUCGUACCGCCCAAGGACCAGGCUACAGCCCAGGAGUCAGUAGUGCCCAGGGUCCAGUGGAAUAGCCCCAGAGCUGGUAGCUGCCACCUGAGCUGUGGCCGCCUCCAGGAAAAGCGGAAGGGGUCGGUCCCUAGUGUUCCAGGGACUGGGCACAGGCUAUGGAACACGGGGCCUGAAGGCAGGAGCUCACCUUGAAGGCGAAGGUCUCCCCAAAGUGAGGGUUCAGCGUCUGCCGAUGCACCUUGGUCUCGUACCGCCUCCGUUUGUCCGGCAGCAGGUAGACCCGCACAUAGGGGUCCGAGGAGCCACCAAGAUCCAAGGCUGCCAAUCCCAUUGCUUGCAGAAUGCCCACCAGCAGCUGCAGGGCCCAGGCACAGUGGGGGAGGUGGGGAACACUAGUCUUAGCCUCCCUUCCAUGGCUCCUUUCAGAAGGGGUUGGAACCCCCGGGAUCCUCCCUCCAAAGCUUCCCCUUCCUCCACACCCACCUGGCCACUCUGGAAGUCAUAAUCCAGGGAGUACUGCAGUCGUCCUAGCUCAUGCUUGUCUGCCACCUGCUGCCCUGGCCCGGAUGGUGCUGGCUCCAGCUCCUCUACUUCUGGCUGCACCUUAAGGAGCCAGGGGCUGCUGCUGCACUGGCCUCGUCCCUGGAUCCCUCGCCGCAGAUCUGUCCUACACAGGGUUCCAGAGGAGUCAUCCUAACACCAUCUGACCCUGUCCCUCUCAUGCUCAAAACAUAUUUGUAGCCUUCAUCACCUUCAUGACAUGGAUACUGCUGAGUUCUCCAGACACUUCACUCCAGAGUGCAGCUAUUGUGAGAAAUGACUCUUUGUUCCCCAAAUAAGCCUCAGAAUCUGGAUAUGGGGCCUGAAUCUGGAUAUGGGGCCUCAACACAUGCUCCAACUUGGACUAGAAUGUCCUUCUCUCUGGUCUCAGUUAACUCUGUCCCUCAGGUCUCAGUGCAGAAGUCACCUCCACCACGAAGCCUCCUCUGUCUGACCCUCUGUUUUAAACUUUUUCCUACUGUAAAUAUGUCCCAUUUUCUGAAAAAAAUCAGCAUAUUUUAAAGUAUUCUGGCACAAAGCUGGUUUUCAGCUUUCAGAGCCAUUUAUUUAUUUAUCUAUUUAUUGGAGACAGAGUCUCG